rnacentral:rRNA from 1 species
UACGGGAGGCAGCAGUGGGGAAUAUUGCACAAUGGGCGAAAGCCUGAUGCAGCGACGCCGCGUGAGGGAUGACGGCCUUCGGGUUGUAAACCUCUUUCAGCAGGGAAGAAGCGAAAGUGACGGUACCUGCAGAAGAAGCGCCGGCUAACUACGUGCCAGCAGCCGCGGUAAUACGUAGGGCGCGAGCGUUGUCCGGAAUUAUUGGGCGUAAAGAGCUCGUAGGCGGCUUGUCGCGUCGGUUGUGAAAGCCCGGGGCUUAACCCCGGGUCUGCAGUCGAUACGGGCAGGCUAGAGUUCGGUAGGGGAGAUCGGAAUUCCUGGUGUAGCGGUGAAAUGCGCAGAUAUCAGGAGGAACACCGGUGGCGAAGGCGGAUCUCUGGGCCGAUACUGACGCUGAGGAGCGAAAGCGUGGGGAGCGAACAGGAUUAGAUACCCUGGUAGUCCACGCCGUAAACGGUGGGCACUAGGUGUGGGCGACAUUCCACGUCGUCCGUGCCGCAGCUAACGCAUUAAGUGCCCCGCCUGGGGAGUAC